CCUACGGGAGGCAGCAGUAAGGAAUAUUGCGAAUGGGCGAAAGCCUGACGCAGCGACGCCGCGUGGGGGAUGAAGGUCUUCGGAUUGUAAACCCCUUUCGGGCGGGAAGAUGGAGCGAGCAAUCGUUCGGACGGUACCUCCAGAAGCAGCCACGGCCACUCUGUGCCAGCAGCCGCGGUAAU
rnacentral:rRNA from 1 species